rnacentral:rRNA from 1 species
GGGUCAGUAGGUUGGUCGUGCCACCGGUACGUACUGGUCUCACUGAUUCCUCCUUCCUGAAGAACCGUAAUGCCAUUAAUUUGGUGUUGCGGGGAAACAGGACUGUUACUUUGAAAAAAUUAGAGUGUUUAAAGCAAGCUAACGCUUGAAUACAUUAGCAUGGAAUAAUGAAACAGGACGAUCGAUCCUAUUUUGCUGGUUUCUAGGAUUGACGCA